rnacentral:sRNA from 1 species
GUAGAUGCUCAUUCCACCUCUUAUGUUUGCGCAAGCUUCAUAAACCUGGGAAUGAUGCAGAGCCAUUUACGGUACCUGUUGCCCAACCCGCCAAUAUCGUUCAGGCCUUAUUGGAUCUCGGGCACACCGUUGAGUCGGGUACCAAUCGGUUGUCUUACCGACCUGAUAUUUAUACCUGCCGACCGGCAGGUUUUUUUUU